rnacentral:lncRNA from 1 species
GCCACCCGGCUGGGAGCGGAGAGAGACUGACGGCGGAGGCGGGGGUCAGGGCGCGGACCCGGACCCCAGCCCCAUGGGGGACAGAGUCCAAAAAAACCGGCCGGGUGGAGGAUGCAGCCGGGCGUGGUGGCUACAAGGAAGUGCCCUGGUGUUAAGAACUCAGCCUCUGAAACCCGCCGCCCAGCUUCGAGUCAGCGACGUACUUUUGUUGUCCCGGCCUUAGUAUCCCCGCUGCAAUAAGAGUGUAAGCUCCUAAAGGCAGAAAUCAAGCUGACCUAAGCAAAGACCUGAAGGAGCUAUGAGGACAUCUGGCAGAAGAGGUAAUGCUACGGGUAAGGAAUUGUACAAACACAUGAGAAAUAUCCACAGAAAGCAUAGCACCUGGCAAGAGGCUGGCCAGCGGCUAUAAACAAGUUAAGGGACUCCUCUGAGCCUCAACAUCCCAUCCCUGGAAUGGAGAGAAGGACGUCUGCCCUGCUUAUCUCAAAAGGACAUCGAUGAGAUCAUAGAAGCCCAAGCUGAGGUUACAUCUGAUGCUAAAAACUAGACGAGAAAGGGUCUGUCUGACCCUCAAGGUCAGCAAUGUGUGUGCAACUCCCCUCUCGGGGUCUGGGGACGCAGCCAUGUGUUCCAUCGCACACCAGGCUUUGGGGAUAUUGUAGGGCUCAGACCGCCGACUGCUAGUUUAUUAAAAGAGCAGCUGCCAUCCCGCCGCGCAGUGGGACAGAGAGCUGCAGCCCGGCGCAGGCUCGACCCCGCAGGGAACCGCGACCCGGGGAUAGGCAGCUCUGGACUGCACUGAUCUGGGACUCUGUCGGCUCUACAGACACACACACGCGCGCGCACACACACACACAUGCACACACGCACGCACACACACACGCACGCACAGCCGCUAGGCCUAGAGUUUAUUUUUCCAGGGGCUGGUGGGGACUCCGCUCCCGCGGCGGGCGGCGGCACUGGAAUGUUAAUUGAAACGGAGCUGGCGAGCGCGGCGCAGAUAAGCGUCGCCCAGCAGCGUCCCCGCCUGCGGCUCCCCGAAUCAGCGAUCCGGGAAGGCCCCGCCGCCUCUCUGGCCGCUGAGGGUUUUCUUUUCCACGCUGAAGGAGUGGAACGCGCGCGGAGGCAGCUCGGCGCCCGCAAACCCCCGGAGUCAGCCCCCGACGGUCUGUCCCAGAACUAAACGGUCUCCGCCACCCAAAGCCGAGAAGCUAAGAGGCCGGCUGGGGGAGGGUGACACGGAGAAAUGGAGAAGCCCACCCAGCGGUUACAUACCGGCAGAUUUUUAUUUCCUUUAACUGGUUGGUUCUUCUAAACAUUUAAUGCAAGAAAUCUCUCGGCCCGCUUCACUUUACUCUCCACCCAUGCUCUUCCCCUAACCCUGAGAAUUUUGCACAGAUUUUCGGGGUUCGCGCGGAGCGCCUCUGAAAGUGAUGGCGGACAAACCGUCAAAAAGGCCUCAGCAUAGCAAUUUAGGAAAAGAUCGUAUCAGAUCCUUAAUUCACACCAUACACUCUAAUACACUCGAAAGUAAGCAAAGAAAUUAUAACAAAUACCAGAAUAAAAUAUGGGUGAAUUCCUUUUUAACCUCAGUGUAGGAAAAGAAAGGUCUUCUCACCAUGACUCAAAUCAAGAAGCAAGUAAACAUAACACAAAUGAUUACAUUUUAUAAAAUGCAUGGUAAGAAAUCACUAUAAAAGAAGUCAAAAGACAAUUGUCAAACAGGAAGAAAAUAUUUGCAACAUAUAGCACACAUAACCAAAGUAACUGAUAUUGAGAAAACUUAAAAAUUGAAAUUGGGAGAUGGAUACAAUUUGCGUUUGUGUAUGUAUGUGUAUAUAUUUAUGUGUUUUUAAUUGUUAUGUAUAUUAUACAUGUAUAUGUAUAGAUACAUACACAUAUGUAUAUAUCCCUUAAACAUAUAAAAGGAUGUUGCACCUCACUUGUAAUUAGAGAAAUGCAAAUUAAAAACAACACUGAGAUACUGUUUCUCACCUAUCAAAUUUGUAAGAAUUAAGAGGCAUGAUCAUGCAUUCCGUUGCCCGGGCUAGCUGGGAAGCAGGCACUCCCAUACAGUACUGGUGGAAUGCAAACCUGUAGAACCUUUCUGGAGAGGAGAACUCCUAAAAAUACUAUAUGUGCAUUUAUGUUUCACCUAUGGUCCCAUUUCUUAGAAAUUUGUCUUUCGACAAAUUCAAUUGACAAUUGUCUUUUGACUCUGAAGACAUGCCUCCAACAAUAUAAAAACACAUACAAACUUAUUAUUGUAAAGUACUGGAAAACUCUAAAUACUCAUUCACAGAACAGUGGUUGAAUAAACUUUGGUACAUUCGUGCAAUGGAGUACUAGGCAACUAUAGAAAACAAUAAGGAAGACCUCUUUGGACCAAUAUGAUGUGACUGCUGAAUAUAUUGUUAAGUGAAAAAAAGGUAACGGCAAAAGAGUAUCUUCAAGAAUCAAUGAGAGCUGGGAACAGCUCAUGUUCUGGGGAGGAGGCUGUGCCGGCCAUGGGGCUUUGGGUGUGUGAUUGACUGCAGGUGUGCUUGCCUUGUGGCAGCAGAAAAAGGAUGCACCAGUGAUCAACCCGUCUCUUAAAUAUGGUAAUCAGAUCAACAUCAUAGAUUUUAAUGAUAAAAGUAUCAUUAUAAAUGAAAACGUUAUCCAUCAAGUGGAUGAAAUUAGGCACAUUAAUGCCAGUCCGGCAGACAAAGGUGAGCUGGUGACAUUCUACAAUAAAAGUUAUUGUGUCUUCUCCUGACUGGACUGGA